GACGAACGCUGGCGGCGUGCUUAACACAUGCAAGUCGAACGGAAAGGCCCUGCUUGCAGGGUACUCGAGUGGCGAACGGGUGAGUAACACGUGGGUGAUCUGCCCUGCACUUCGGGAUAAGCUUGGGAAACUGGGUCUAAUACCGGAUAGGAGCCAUCUUUAGUGUGGUGGUUGGAAAGUUUUUUCGGUGUAGGAUGAGCUCGCGGCCUAUCAGCUUGUUGGUGGGGUAAUGGCCUACCAAGGCGGCGACGGGUAGCCGGCCUGAGAGGGUGUACGGCCACAUUGGGACUGAGAUACGGCCCAGACUCCUACGGGAGGCAGCAGUGGGGAAUAUUGCACAAUGGGCGCAAGCCUGAUGCAGCGACGCCGCGUGGGGGAUGAAGGCCUUCGGGUUGUAAACUCCUUUCGCUAGGGACGAAGCUUUGUUGUGACGGUACCUAGAUAAGAAGCACCGGCUAACUACG
rnacentral:rRNA from 1 species